rnacentral:lncRNA from 1 species
GUGAGGGGCGAGGGGGGCUUGCUCUCUGGCGCCCUCUAAUGGCAACUCGAACAAUGUUUACUUUCGUAAUUCAGUCCGGGGGAAGGCAGCUGGGUUUUUGUUGUUGCUGGAUUUUUUUUCCCCCUUCUCAGACUUUAAAAAACAACAACAAAAAAAACGAACUAGAGACUCUCAGCAAAUUGACUGUUUUCAACGUAUGAACUUAUGCAUGUGCCUUCAAAUCCUCCAUGUUUUCUCCCCGAACAUCCCUUCCUCUCCCAGAGUCUUGUUAGACUGAGGAGAGCUUCCUUCCCCGCAAAUUGAUUUAUGAAGGGUGGUCCACGCCCAGUUAGGAAUUCGGGCCCAGAGCUUCGUUUCCUACCUGAACAGCAUUCCGACUCUCGGAAUACACUCGAGAGGUGCGAGGAGGUGGAGUGGGAAGAGAUGAUUUGGAAAUUGCAGAUUCUGACACAGGCUCAUUAGAAUACAAUUUAAAGGGGGCUCUCAGGACCCUGUGCGGCUGCGACAUGUGGUGGUCAGGGGGGUUUCCUUCCCGCCUCCUUUUUCUUUUUCUUUUUUUCUUUCUCUUCUUUCUUUUCCUCAUUUUUUUUCUUUUUUAAAAAUUUGGUAGAUAAAGGUUAAUCUUGGGCUGAAUGGUAGAGCUCUGAUUGACAGGAGAAAAGGUGUCGAGGGCAGGUCGCGCUGUCUUAUUUACAGCCCACUGCUUGCUCAGAGUCUUUGUUAGGACUGGAAAGCUAAUUUAGUGCUGAUCAAAAGCACCACAGAGUUAAAGGACUGGUAAUGACUGCUAAUUUCAUUUCAGCCUCAUGCAAGCCCAACUGCUGUAAUUAAAGACACGCUAUUUAAAUACAGGUGCUUCUUGUCAUUUAUACCUGGCUUGGCAGAACUGGCAGUAUGAAAUGUGUCAGUCACACACACACACAAAGACCCUCCUAAGGAGGUAGGGGAGAAGGAUGCAGAGGAGAAACUAUUUAGGAGGCAUUUAAAUAUUUGGGUCUCUCUUUUUCCCCCUUGGAUUUAAUGGAAGGGCCUUCAAUAUAGCUAAAAGUAUUUGAAACUUGGGGCAGGGUGAACAGGCCAGAGAGAUCAGUGUCAGCUUUUAAAGUACUCUAAAAAAGAUCAUGUGAACAGACAGGAAAAUAUAUUUUAAUUAAAUAAUUUCCCCCACACUAGAGCUGCAGUAUUGGCUCAGAAACCUUGUAAUUUCUCAACUGAUAGGAGUUUCUUUAUGAGAACAUCAAAGGAUAAAAAGCUCUACAUUUUCGUAGUUGGUUAAAAUUGAUAACCACCCCCCAUACACACACGCACAUGCACACACACAACCCCCAAAAAGAAUUUAGCCUUUAAUCUCUUUUUAUCCACGAAGACUAAAGCUCUGUACUCGACCCCUUGAGCGUUUCUCGCCUUCCGGGGCUGGAACCCAGCUCAGAUGUGAAGCGGCGCUGAGCCGCCGCGCAGGUUCGUGCCCAGCGCCCCCUGUUGGACACAGUAGGCGCUGCGCAGCGCCAGUCCUGGAAAUCGCUAGAACCUGGCUCUGGGGUUACAGAAAACUCUUUAUUACCCUCCAGAAAGGAAAUAGGGCGCGGAAACAAGUUUUUAUAUCCUUAAAAGAUAUUUUAAUUCAAUAAACACUAAAAAGGAGAUAAUACACUUUUAAUGCAAUAAAAAUAAAAGACUCAUUCCUCCUGCUCUGCUCCCAGCCAGCCCC